rnacentral:rRNA from 1 species
GGAUUGCCCCAGUAACGGCGAGUGAAGCGGCAACAGCUCAAAUUUGAAAUCUGGCACCCCCCGGGGGGCCCGAGUUGUAAUUUGCAGAGGAUGCUUCUGGCGCGGCGCCUUCCGAGUUCCCUGGAACGGGACGCCACAGAGGGUGAGAGCCCCGUCUGGUCGGACGCCCAGCCUGUGUGAAGCUCCUUCGACGAGUCGAGUAGUUUGGGAAUGCUGCUCUAAAUGGGAGGUAUAUGUCUUCUAAAGCUAAAUACCGGCCAGAGACCGAUAGCGCACAAGUAGAGUGAUCGAAAGAUGAAAAGCACUUUGAAAAGAGGGUUAAACAGUACGUGAAAUUGUUGAAAGGGAAGCGCUCGUCGCCAGACCUGCGCCCGGUGGAUCACCCGGCGUUCUCGCCGGCGCACUCCGCCGGGCGCAGGCCAGCAUCGGUUCGCCGCGGGGGACAAAGGCUCCGGGAACGUGGCUCCUCCGGGAGUGUUAUAGCCCGCCGCGCAAUGCCCUGGGGCGGACCGAGGUUCGCGCUCCGCAAGGAUGCUGGCGUAAUGGCGACCAGCGACCCGUCUUGAAACACGGACCAAGGAGUCGUCCUCGUAUGCGAGUGUUCGGGUGUCAAACCCCUACGCGCAAUGAAAGUGAACGCAGGUGAGAGCUCCGGCGCAUCAUCGACCGAUCCUGAUGUUCUCGGAUGGAUUUGAGUAAGAGCAUACGGGGCCGGACCCGAAAGAAGGUGAACUAUGCCUGUUUAGGGUGAAGCCAGAGGAAACUCUGGUGGAGGCUCGCAGCGGUUCUGACGUGCAAAUCGAUCGUCAAAAAUGGGCAUGGGGGCGAAAGA